GACGAACGCUGGCGGCGUGCUUAACACAUGCAAGUCGAACGGAAAGGCCCUGCUUUUGUGGGGUGCUCGAGUGGCGAACGGGUGAGUAACACGUGAGUAACCUGCCCUUGACUUUGGGAUAACUUCAGGAAACUGGGGCUAAUACCGGAUAGGAGCUCCUGCUGCAUGGUGGGGGUUGGAAAGUUUCGGCGGUUGGGGAUGGACUCGCGGCUUAUCAGCUUGUUGGUGGGGUAGUGGCUUACCAAGGCUUUGACGGGUAGCCGGCCUGAGAGGGUGACCGGCCACAUUGGGACUGAGAUACGGCGCAGAAUCCUACGGGAGGCAGCAGUGGGAAAUAUUGCACAAUGGGCGGAAGCCUGAUGCAGAAACGCCGCGUGCGGGAUGACGGCCUUCGGGUUGUAAACCGCUUUCGCCUGUGACGAAGCGUGAGUGACGGUAAUGGGUAAAGAAGCACCGGCUAACUACGUG
rnacentral:rRNA from 1 species